CAGUAGCCGCGGUAAUACGUAGGUGGCAAGCGUUGUCCGGAAUUAUUGGGCGUAAAGGGUGCGUAGGCGGUUUCGCAAGUCUUGUGUGAAAUCUAUGGGCUCAACCCAUAGUCUGCACAGGAAACUGCGAGGCUUGAGGAUGGGAGAGGUGAGUGGAAUUUCCGGUGUAGCGGUGAAAUGCGUAGAUAUCGGAAGGAACACCUGUGGCGAAAGCGGCUCACUGGACCAUUUCUGACGCUGAUGCACGAAAGCUAGGGGAGCAAACAGGAUUAGAUACCCCGGUAGUCCCUGUCUCUUAUAC
rnacentral:rRNA from 1 species